rnacentral:misc_RNA from 1 species
GGUUUGAUUCUGGCUCAGAUUGAACGCUGGCGGGAUGCUUUACACAUGCAAGUCGGUCUGCGCACGGACUUCGGUCUGGUGGCGAGUGGCGAACGGGUGAGUAAUGUAUCGGAACGUGCCUAGUAGCGGGGGAUAACUACGCGAAAGCGUAGCUAAUACCGGCAUACGCCUCGGGGGAAAGCGGGGACCUUCGGGCCUCGCACUAUUAGAGCGGCCGAUAUCGGAUUAGCUAGUUGGUGGGUAACGGCUCACCAAGGCGACGAUCCGUAGCUGGUUUGAGAGGACGACCAGCCACACUGGGACUGAGAUACUCUGGCCCAGACUCCUACGGGAGGGCAGCAGUGGGGAAUUUUGGACAAUGGGGGAAACCCCGAUCCAGCCAUCCUGCGUGUGUGAUGAAGGCCUUCGGUUGUAAAGCACUUUUGGCAGGGAGAAAGAAACGGCACGGGAUAAUGCGCAACUGACGGUACCUGCAGAAUAAGCACCGGCUAACUACGUGCCAGCAGCCGCGGUAAUACGUAGGGU